UACGUAGGUGGCAAGCGUUGUCCGGAUUUAUUGGGUUUAAAGGGUGCGUAGGCGGUCUUUUAAGUCAGUGCUGAAAUACUCCAGCUUAACUGGAGGGGUGGCAUUGAUACUGGAAGACUUGAGUGUAGUCGAGGUAGGCGGAAUUGACGGUGUAGCGGUGAAAUGCUUAGAUAUCGUCAAGAACACCGAUAGUGAAGACAGCUUACUAGGCUACAACUGACGCUGAGGCACGAAAGUGUGGGGAUCAAACAGGAUUAGAAA
rnacentral:rRNA from 1 species